rnacentral:rRNA from 1 species
GUGGGGAAUAUUGCACAAUGGGGGAAACCCUGAUGCAGCGACGCCGCGUGGAGGAAGAAGGUCUUCGGAUUGUAAACUCCUGUUGUUGGGGAAGAUAAUGACGGUACCCAACAAGGAAGUGACGGCUAACUACGUGCCAGCAGCCGCGGUAAAACGUAGGUCACAAGCGUUGUCCGGAAUUACUGGGUGUAAAGGGAGCGCAGGCGGGAAGACAAGUUGGAAGUGAAAUCUAUGGGCUCAACCCAUAGAUUGCUUUCAAAACUGCUGGCCUUGAGUAGUGCAGAGGUAGGUGGAAUUCCCGGUGUAGCGGUGGAAUGCGUAGAUAUCGGGAGGAACACCAGUGGCGAAGGCGACCUACUGGGCACCAACUGACGCUGAGGCUCGAAAGCAUGGGUAGCAAACAGGAUUAGAAACCCGAGUAGUCC